rnacentral:tRNA from 1 species
GUCUUCGUGGCUCAGUUGGUUAGAGCGUUGGUCUCAUAUUCCUUUAUAAUACAAUGUGAGGUAGUUGUUAACAAUUACUGUGCCAUCCAAAGGUCGUGAGUUCGAGUCUCACCGAGGACA